rnacentral:rRNA from 1 species
ACUCCUACGGGAGGCAGCAGUGGGGAAUAUUGGACAAUGGGCGCAAGCCUGAUCCAGCCAUGCCGCGUGAGUGAUGAAGGCCCUAGGGUUGUAAAGCUCUUUCACCGGAGAAGAUAAUGACGGUAUCCGGAGAAGAAGCCCCGGCUAACUUCGUGCCAGCAGCCGCGGUAAUACGAAGGGGGCUAGCGUUGUUCGGAAUUACUGGGCGUAAAGCGCACGUAGGCGGAUCGAUCAGUCAGGGGUGAAAUCCCAGGGCUCAACCCUGGAACUGCCUUUGAUACUGUCGAUCUGGAGUAUGGAAGAGGUGAGUGGAAUUCCGAGUGUAGAGGUGAAAUUCGUAGAUAUUCGGAGGAACACCAGUGGCGAAGGCGGCUCACUGGUCCAUUACUGACGCUGAGGUGCGAAAGCGUGGGGAGCAAACAGGAUUAGAAACCCUGGUAGUCCCAUGA